rnacentral:lncRNA from 1 species
AUGUAUAUACUGAGUGCUUUUCUCUCUUUAGAGGAAUUUAAACAGAACAGUAUUAAAGUAGUUCUGAUUUAUUCCUUGAAAUUGGAUUUCCUAUAUUUAAUAGGUCAAAAAGAUUCUGUCUUUUCAUCAUCUGGGUUGUUUUGUAUUGAUCAUAAAUUGUACUGUCAUUGCUUUUUCCCUGGAGUGGGUGGGUGGUGGUGUUGCAGAGUUACUCUGAC